UACGUAGGGACCGAGCGUUGUCCGGAUUCAUUGGGCGUAAAGAGCUCGUAGGCGGCUGUUCAAGUCGAACGUGAAAACUCGGAGCUCAACUCCGAGCCUGCGUUCGAUACUGGACGGCUAGAGUCUGGUAGGGGGAUCUGGAAUUCCUGGUGUAGCGGUGGAAUGCGCAGAUAUCAGGAGGAACACCGGUGGCGAAGGCGGGAUCCUGGGCCAGUACUGACGCUGAGGCGCGAAAGCUAGGGGAGCGAACAGG
rnacentral:rRNA from 1 species